GACGAACGCUGGCGGCGUGCUUAACACAUGCAAGUCGAACGGAAAGGCCCUGCUUGCAGGGUACUCGAGUGGCGAACGGGUGAGUAACACGUGGGUGAUCUGCCCUGCACUUCGGGAUAAGCCUGGGAAACUGGGUCUAAUACCGGAUAGGAGCCAUCUUUAGUGUGAUGGUUGGAAAGUUUUUUCGGUGUAGGAUGAGCUCGCGGCCUAUCAGCUUGUUGGUGGGGUAAUGGGCUACCAAGGCGGCGACGGGUAGCCGGCCUGAGAGGGUGGACGGCCACAUUGGGACUGAGAUACGGCCCAGACUCCUACGGGAGGCAGCAGUGGGGAAUAUUGCACAAUGGGCGCAAGCCUGAUGCAGCGACGCCGCGUGGGGGAUGACGGCCUUCGGGUUGUAAACUCCUUUCGCUAGGGACGAAGCUUUUUGUGACGGUACCUAGAGAAGAAGCACCGGCUAACUACGUG
rnacentral:rRNA from 1 species